rnacentral:rRNA from 1 species
GUAGUCCACGCCGUAAACGGUGGGUACUAGGUGUGGGUUUCCUUCCUUGGGAUCCGUGCCGUAGCUAACGCAUUAAGUACCCCGCCUGGGGAGUACGGCCGCAAGGCUAAAACUCAAAGAAAUUGACGGGGGCCCGCACAAGCGGCGGAGCAUGUGGAUUAAUUCGAUGCAACGCGAAGAACCUUACCUGGGUUUGACAUGCACAGGACGCCGGCAGAGAUGUCGGUUCCCUUGUGGCCUGUGUGCAGGUGGUGCAUGGCUGUCGUCAGCUCGUGUCGUGAGAUGUUGGGUUAAGUCCCGCAACGAGCGCAACCCUUGUCUCAUGUUGCCAGCACGUUAUGGUGGGGACUCGUGAGAGACUGCCAGUGAUAUACUGGA